rnacentral:lncRNA from 1 species
AAGUGUUUCUUCUGUUGUCUCAUUUUACCAAGAGGAUGAUGUCUGUGUGAGAAAUUCUACACUGAAUAAGACUGGUUGGGACUCAAAGAAGCUACAAAGAUGCACUUUUCCAGCACAAACAUGUUCUAGGUUGGAUGAUCAAAUGCAUAUGCCUAGCAAUUGAAAUCUCCAACUAGGAACAAAAAAUAAUCACAAAAAGCAAAGGAUUCACUUUGGUGUUCACAGUAGGAGCAACAGCAGCAUCUUGUUUGCAGUUCUGGUAGCAGUAGCAGCUGCAAUGGCUCCAGCCAUAUCAAAUAUCCUGUGGCACAGAGGGCUCGGAGGUAUGAGGUUAAGAGAUACAAAUUUGCUUACCGCAUGAACUCUGCAGUUUGAUUUUUACUUUGAUUUGGUCACCUUGCUUUCUUUGCUCUUGAUUGUUUUCUAGCCCUACUUCUGUGACUAUAUUAAAUAAUUCUUUAGCUAAUAAUAAUCCUUCCAAUAAAUUCGCUCUUCUGCUUGAAUGAUUCACA